AUGAUGUUAAUCUGUUAAGGAUGUCUACGGCAACACUGCUCUUCAUGAUAUUAAUCAUUAAGGAUGUCUACACAGCACUGUUCUUCAUGAUGAUGUGUGUAAUAAGGGGGAUUCACUGGCAGGAAAACUGCUUUCCCACCAUGCAAAUAUUGAAGCACUAAACAAGGAGGGAAAUACACCACUUUUGCUUACAGUAAUUUGUAAGAGACAGCAAAUGGUGGAAUUUUUAGUAAAGAACCAGCAUCCAACAACAAAUUUUG